rfam:Desulfitibacter sp. BRH_c19 BRHa_1004663, whole genome shotgun sequence.
UAGUCAGACAGCAAAGUUCCUGAUGCCCAAGCAGCCCAUGAAAAAGCCGUUAGUUCCGUUCUAUCCGCAAUGGGCGGGGUUAACCUAGUUCUAGGAGUUG